rnacentral:RNase_P_RNA from 1 species
GGAGUUGGCCGGACAGUCGCUGUAUCGCUUCGGCGGUAUGGAGGAAAGUCCGGGCUCCACAGGGCAGAGUGCCAGGUAACGCCUGGGAGGCGUGAGCCUACGGAAAGUGCAGCAGAGAGCAGACCGCCUAAGCGCGCAAGCGCCGGUAAGGGUGAAAGGGUGCGGUAAGAGCGCACCGCACGACUGGUAACAGUUCGUGGCAUGGUAAACCCCACUCGGAGCAAGACCAAAUAGGGAUCCAUUGGUGCGGCCCGCACUGGAUCCGGGUAGGUUGCUACAGGCAGUCAGUGAUGGCUGUCGCAGAGGAAUGGCUGUCCUCGACAGAACCCGGCUUACAGGCCAACUCCUGUU